CCCCUUCCGAUCGAUGUCAAUCUUCACAAUCACAAAAACGACGUCCACGAUGACGAUACCUACGGUGCAUCCGGCCUCAAUCCCCCUGCUCCCUCUUAUCAAAACCUACCAAAUUCUGUCCAGAAUUCAUUUCCCGCUGAAAAUAAUUCAGCUGCUGGACCUAGGAUUUUGGGCGCCAAAUUACCUAAUAAUGCUUCAGAUAUUACUGAUUCUACAUCCGAUAAGCAGGAUAAAGACGUUACUUUUGAUAUCGAGGAGGGCAAUACUGGAAUUCCUGCAGAUUCUGGUCCAAUGAUCCCGGGACUCGCCGUUGAUGUAGAGGAUUCCAAGAGGAUUGAAGCUGAUGUUGGUGGCGGCCGCGAGGGAGAUGAAGAUUGGGAGGAAGACAGUGAUAGUGAAGAUGACUUGCAAAUAGUGUUGAAUGAUACUAAUCAUGGGCCUAUGGGGAUGGAAAGUGGAAUAAUGGGUGACGGUGGUGAUGACGAUGACGACGAGGAUGGAGAUCCACUCGUAAUUGUAGCUGACGGGGACCCAAAUCAGCCGAUAGAAGAACAAGAGUGGGGCGUGGGAGAGGAUGCGGCCGCAACAUCAGGGGCGGAAGGGGAGAGGAAAGAGGGCGGUGAGGCAGCUGGGAAAGGGAUUGCAGUGGCAGGACCGAAGAUUGGGUAUAGCAACCAUGGGUAUCAUCACUCGUUUCAUUCCCAGUUUAAGGUCAGUGUUGUUGUUGCUAUAAGUUAGAGCUUUAAAUAAAGAAAGAAAUACUGUUGUUCCUGGAGGAGCACCAGGUCAAGUUCGUCCUUCUAUCAACAUGGCUCCUUUAGCUGGUCGU
rnacentral:misc_RNA from 1 species